ensembl:lncRNA
UCAGAUGCGUGCCAAUUUGCCAGCACAACAUAACUGUUGGCGUGGGUAUGUCCACCACUGAAGUGUCAGGUCAUUUAAAGAUCAUCUAACACCAGACUCCGCCACAGGGGAGAGCAGCUUCAUCAAUGAAAACCACUGAAUGAACUGGAUCCAGGGUAACAGGGUUUCAAAAGUUUUACACAGGGUUUUACACAGGCUCUAUCACAACACUGAGGUACAUGCAUAUCCAAUGUAAGGGCUAUAACCACCUGACCUGUCUGCUUGAGGUUUUUGCUUAAAGGUGCAGUUUGCAAUUCUAAACCAAUAUACUUUUUGUCAAAAUCAGCAAAUUGCUCACGGUCCCCUAGCUGUCUGUUCAGUGUUUGCGCUCAAAAAAAACUCCAGUGUUCCUACACAGUCCUGGCUCUGUAAAUGGGAAACAAACACAGUGGCUCGACCAAGCCAUAAACAUUCCCAGCCCCAAAAAAUGAACAACCUUUUGCAAAACCGAAUCGCAGACUGCAUCUUUAAGUACUUUUUUGUGUAGUCAUGAUUAAUAAGUAUGUGUGUUAAUGGAGGAAGGCAAUAGAGUACUGGAGGGCAUUGUGCUUACUACUUUGUGUGUGUGUGCCAUCCUUUGGAGGCUUCAUCCAAUUUAUAUAGUUCAAUCGAGCAGUCAUGCUUCCCAUAAUGCAAUCUGUCCUUUUAAACAGUAAGCUUUUGUCAGCAGUUGGUCUAAGGCAAAGCACACUUUUGUGUUUUGUUGGACAGUAAAAAUCUUGGAGCUAAAAUGAAUAGUACUAGAGAAUUUAAAGCAGAAAAGUAAUCGCUUACAGAGUCGAGCUCUGUGAGCAAGAAGCCAAGAGUAACAGAUAGACGUUGUUAUCUGAUUAUGACUCCUUUUUAUCUUCUCCUGGUCACACCCAGGGGCGAGGGUGAGAAAGUAACAACAGCCGACACAACCUCAUUUUUACACCUCUUUGAAAACAACCAAAAAACUGCGUAUUUCUCAGUGCCAAAAGACUACCGCUGAGCCUUUUGUACCUUUCUUAUGAACAACUAUUCUCGCAUUGAACAUUAGCGGCAGUGGGAGGCCAUCUUUUAGACAGACUCUAUAUGACAGCAUGUUCAGGACGUUUGCACUGAGGGCCUGGAGAAGCUGACCUAAGACCACCUCAUGGGACCCAGUUCAUAUGUAGCAAAAAUGUUUUCAGUUUUUUUUUUUAAACGUAUUUUGUAUUUUGCACUGAAAUUUUGCUAUGCUUUCAUAAUAAAUGUGC